rnacentral:miRNA from 1 species
CAGAUCAAGACGCUCCGGCA